rnacentral:lncRNA from 1 species
UAGAACUGUGUGUGCCAAGAUUGUCCAUUUUGUGACAGUUGAUCCACUGACACUGGAAAAAGAUGAUGUUUUUGUGAAACACAUCCUCUUCUACAAUGAAAGUGGUCAACAGUUGUGAGUUUACUGAAGCACUUGGAGUCACUGUGCUUUCAAGAAAAAAAAAACACAGAAAUAAUCCAGAAGGGUCCUUCUACCCUUUCCAUACAAUGAUAUGCCUAAAUGUGGACUUCCUGGUCUCAAAAACAGAAGUCUCCUGUCAAACACCAAUUACCAUAGAAGAGAGUGGGGGAGUUGAAAUACUUCUGACUUCGUAAGGUUUGAUGCCACUGGCCCACUCAUCACAGACCAGACCAAGUGAGCAACCCCCUGCUUUUACCCAAUUCCUGUCCUAAGUGCCAUUCACCCAGAUCCCCCCAGGCUUGUCCCUGCUUGAAACAGACACACCCAGGAGGGAGGAGCUCCCUGAAUCUGGGCACAGGCCACUCUUCUUUCCAUUCCCGGCAACCAAUCCGCCAGGAGGUGAGUGAUCCACCGCUCUUACCCAACUCCCUAUCAAAGCCCAAUCCAUCCCAAUCUCCCCGGGCCUGCUCCUGCUUGGGGUAGGCCUGCCCAGGCAGUGAGGAACCCCCAGAGCCUGGAAACACCCCACUCUUACUUCCUGUCC